rnacentral:rRNA from 1 species
CACACUGGGACUGAGACACGGCCCAGACUCCUACGGGAGGCAGCAGUGGGGAAUAUUGGACAAUGGGCGAAAGCCUGAUCCAGCAAUGCCGCGUGUGUGAAGAAGGCCUGCGGGUUGUAAAGCACUUUCAGUAGAGAAGAAAAGCCUGACGCUAAUACCGUCGGGUCUUGACGUAACCUACAGAAGAAGCACCGGCUAACUCCGUGCCAGCCGCCGCCGUAAAAC